AGUGAAAAUGAUCUAUUAUUAAAGUUUGGGUUUUUAAUAGUGCGAAUGACAUAGCUAAAGCUGGAAUUGAUCCGAAAAAAGUAAAAAUGAGGGAACAGACAAAAAUGUAGACUAUGAGAUGGAGAGGAAAUAUCUUCACAAGGGGAAACAAAUUCAAGCUAAUGGUAAUACCGAGCUCAUGACAGUGGUAAAUUUUGUUCAAGGGACCUCUCAUGAUGAAUAUCAGAAGCUUUCGAACACUAUGGGGCCAAGAAAUAAAAUUUCUAUGAAGACUCGUGCAAGGUUGGAACAUGUGGAAGUAGAGGUUGUAAUGAUGUUUGAACUGGUCAUGGGAAUGCAAGAGGAGAGGGUGGCAGACCAGUUUGUUUUGGAGAAGGAGGAAAUAUGGGUCACACACAACCAACUAUUGAGAAUGCUACUACUGAGGUGAGUCUUUUUGAUUCUUUGGAUUUACCAUCUCAAUUCUCUUUUAGUGAAACAGCGAGCCUUACUGAUCAAGACCACCGAACACAAUAAAAAUUUUAAGUUGAAAUAUCUAAGGCACUGGGAAUCCUGGGACAUUACGUGCUCUACAAUUCUAUCUCCGAGAAUUUAGCCUGACUAUUAUUUUUUCGCUGAUGUAAACUAACCAGGUAUCAAGUUGAACGUCUUAGCAGUACUCUUCAGUUAAUUUUUAGAUGGUGGAUUGUGUGGGUCUUAUAAUAGGGGACUGUUUGUAAAGACCGCUUAGCUUUAAUUUAGAAAUUAGCAGAUAAUUAGAGUUUAAUUAUGAAAAUUAUUUAUUAGUAUUGAAUUACAUGUUUAUGAUGAUUUAUUUGAAUUCAGAAUGCAUUUUAUAUGUAAUAUAUAGAAAAUUUUAUAAUUUUGCAUAUUUUGUGUCCGGUAAUAUUGGAACGCGGUGUUUGACUAUUAGAAUCACAUCCUAGUAUUUUUAGUAUAGCGGGACAAUAUAAUUAGACAUUGGGAAUGUCGAGAUUAGUCGGGAUUUUAGAAUUUCUCAAAAUAUCCCUUAGUGCCAUUUUAUGACUUUUAGUGUAAAAAGGGCAAAAUAGUCAUUUUGCCUAAAUGACUUUUGUCCUUUACUGAAUUUAUUAUUGGUUUAAAUCUGAUUUUUAAGGUUAAUGUUAAGCUGAUAUUUAGUAGAUAAAACCAAAUUCUUUUUACUCAUUUUUCAAAAAUAAGAAAAAAUCAAGAAAAGGGUUCUCUCUCUCCUUGCCUCUCUCUUUCGAAACCCCAUGGAAGCAGCUAGGGUUGCUGAAUUUUUUUUCCUUCAUUUUAAGCUUGUUGUAGCAAGGAUUGAGUGUCCUUGAUCUCUAGGAGCCUAUAAUUCACCGAGUAGUUGUUCCACUCAGGUUGACCGGCACACCUGAAUUUCGGAAUUGAGAACGAGAGAGACCAUGCAAGAGGUGCAUCGAUCUCUUGCUGGAGAUGUUGGAAGAAUUUUGAGACAAGAAAGAGCACCAGAGAUGGGGAGAGUUCUCAGGCAAGAGAGACCAUCGGAGGUGCAUCUCUUGCCGAAGAUGCACCACUAGAGACGAAACAACAUCAUAAAUAUAAAACUUACGAGGUUAUGUGCUUUUUCUAAAAAAAAAUGUUAUGUUUUAGAAUGGGGAAGAACGGGUUAUGUUCCAGUGUUUCUCACCCCUCCAAACUCACUUUCACUCAAAAGACGUCUCACGCCCUGAUAUUGGCUCCGAGACACUCCCACCGAUGGGGUCUUUUUUUGGAGCCCCGGUAGAAGAAGCUCCUUAUAUAUAUAUAUAUAUAUUACACAAAAAUAAAAUAAUAAAAUGAGAUAUAUUUUUUUGAGGGUGGAAUGCUAAUUACAAUCUCUUAUUACAAUUUUUUAGUCAAUUUUUACUUCGAAAUCACAUGUCAGAAUUUUUCUUUUUAAUUUUUAAUUUUUAUUUUUUUCAGUAUCA